AUACGGAGGAUGCGAGCGUUAUCCGGAUUUAUUGGGUUUAAAGGGAGCGUAGGUGGGAUAUUAAGUCAGCUGUGAAAGUUUGGGGCUCAACCUUAAAAUUGCAGUUGAUACUGGUUUCCUUGAGUACGGUACAGGUGGGCGGAAUUCGUGGUGUAGCGGUGAAAUGCUUAGAUAUCACGAAGAACUCCGAUCGCGAAGGCAGCUCACCGGGCCGGAACUGACACUGAUGCUCGAAAGUGCGGGUAUCAAACAGGAUUAGAUACCCUGGUAGUCCGCACAGUAAACGAUGAAUACUCGCUGUUUGCGAUAUACAGUAAGUGGCACAGCGAAAGCGUUAAGUAAUCCACCUGGGGAGUACGCCGGCAACGGUGAAACUUAAAGGAAUUGGCGGGG
rnacentral:rRNA from 1 species